CUAUAGCAGAAGACACUUGCCCAAGAUGCCAUGCAGUGGGACUGAACCCGGAACCAUAUGGUUGGUUAGCAAGCUACUUACCACACAGCCACUCAUUUGUGUUGAAUGGGGAUUGCUUUCUUUUAAUUAAGGUUUGUUUUGUUUUGUGUUGUUUUAACACUGAAACUAUCCCCGAGUCUAUUGUGUUUGUUGUAAAGAAUUGUUCUCUUAACAGUAGAGAGGGUUUUAAUCAGGGUUAUCUUUAUUCAACUCAUCAGAACUGGGUUUUUUUGUUAGAUGAAACACAAGCACGGUUGUGUUGUUAAGAAGAUAGCUUCCUAAUCAUAUGCUCUCAGAUCAAUCACACUGUGCAGCAUAUCGGGCAAAUGUCUUCGGCUGCAGUCCCUGGCUAACCAAAUUCUUGUGAGUGGAUGUGGUACAUGGAAAUUGUAAGAAGCCCAUUGUGUGUGUGUGUGUGUACUGUUGUCUUGAUGUCACAUGAGGGUUGUAAAUGAAUCAUUCUGUCAUACAAGGGAAGUUGUUCAUUUCCAGUUUUCUGUGAAAAAAAGUUUGCCCCAUGGUGGGGAGAGGGAUACAUUACCUUGUCUGAAAACAGAUGAGGGCUGUCACAACAAAUUUCAUCUGACCCUUGCAAGAAGCAUAGAAAAAAGGUUGUUAAAUGAUGACAAUGAGCUGAAAUUGUCAAAGAGGAAAACAUCUAAGGAAGAAAUAAGUAUUAAAGGUUUGUUUUUUUAAUUUUUAGUGUAAAGCCAGAGAGCAGUAAUGUUCAUGCCUUCUCAAAAACAUUAACAUUUAUGAGAGAGUACUGAAAGGUUCCUGGCUUUGAGUAAAAGAAAAUAUAGGUGGAUCAGUUAAUUAUGAUUUUAUUCAACAUAUUCUCCUCCCAGAUUCACACAUUUAUUGUAGUGGCCCUUCAGUUUUUCUAAGUCCUGUAAAAAGCAUCAGCUUUAACCUUUGUGGUUGCAGAAGUUGGCCGUCCUGACCAGGUUCAUCUGUGUGGAGUAAGAUGGCCAGCCAUCUCACCAUGAAUUUCCACCACUCCUAUGCCUUGCAAAAAGAACUUCAUGACUGCUUCUGUUUCAGUUUUACCAAAAUCUCCUGAAGGAGCUGCCAUCUUGUGUUAAAUCUGCAAAAUACAGAAAGAUAUAUUGUAUACCAUCAUUAUAUUUUGCUUAUUUUCUCCUAAAUAGUUGUCCUACCUCCCCUGUAAAGAUAACAGCUCUAUCUUUUUUUAUACCCUUGUGGAUAUACUCAC
rnacentral:lncRNA from 1 species